AAGCGAAGCGGUACGGAGCUUAAAAUCGUAGAAAUCCAUAGCAACGGUUUCACGCAGCCAUCGCAAUCAACAGCAGCAAUGCAUCGCCUCUCGACCGAUUCGUUGUUCCAGGAAACGAUGGAUAUCGGUUGGGCCAAGCGUGCCGUCAGCAGCGAGGAAACCAACAACAACCGUUUUACAUUGAGCAAUCAACAGCUACCGAUUCGGACAACAUCGACUCGGAUGGAAGCAGCAGCAACAGCGCAGAUUGUCGGUGUUAUUCCAUAUACUGUCUGCAGUAAAAACUCCACUAGCUGAUGAACGAUAUGCUACGGCGAAAGUAUCACAAUUUCAAACACAUCAUCACGACAACAUUAAUUCUACAGCAGUACUUGGCAACGGCACCCAGCGAAAACCAUCAUCAUCACACAGAGAUCCAAAUCCAUCGUCGACACGGCAGAAAAAAAGCCUAGCGCCAAACCAAGUCAACUGCCCCUACUGGCAUGUUCCCCUCGGACAACAACAUCAGCAUAGGAUCGGAAAACAAUAGUCCACUGGAAAAAAACUGCGAUCUCUUCGUAGGUAUUGCCCAUUACAGAUUCCACCGUGAAGAAGUAUUUUUCUGACAUCGAACUCUAGGGAGGAGGUAUUGGAAAAUCGAAAAUAAUCACAUCUAAUGUGCAGCGGUUCUAAGCUAACAUGUGGCUGAGUGGAGAAUUUCUUAUCAAAUUUAACAACAACAAGUACGACCAAUGUGACUGAACUGAAUGACUAUUCACUAUGCAGCUUCCAUUGGGAUUUCCAGUAAAAAUAGGUAAAAGCUCAAUUAUUUUUAAAAUAUUUGGCACUAUGUUACGCAAUUCGUUCUAUUUUAUAGAAAUACCGCUGUUCCAUGUGUUGAACGCGGUUAUCAUAUUUGGCAACGUAUUCGAAUAAGAGACACCCGUGACCAGUGUGAGCCACAUCAAAGAAAGCGAAGAGCGUACGUCAUGCAUUAUCGAGGUUUACUGUUUCGAUGUCCCGUUUGAGUACGUACGACGCGGUGUCGAUUUCUAGCGUCAAAUCAUCUUCGAAGAUGAGAACGAAUCGAUGUAAUUUGCGAUCCAGCAAAAUUUGGCAAGUGUCCGAAAAAGCACACUUUUGAGUACUGUGAUAUCCAACUCGCUCGCUAAAAGCAU